UAGGGUCCAAAUUAAUAUUUUAGAAUGUAAAAUAUUGAAAACACUUUAAGCUUAACAUAUGAGAUUUGUUUUUGGUUCUACACUCCACUAGGACUACUAUCACCCAAAAAUACUGACGAUCUAAAAUUAUGAUUUAAACAUUUUGAAGAGUCAAUCAAGAGAAAAUCAAUUAUACAGCUAACACAAAAGGGAAACAAUUAAAUCAUGUCUUCAAGAGUAGGGACUCCAAGUGGCAAUAGUGUAUGUUAACUGAUGACCAAAAAUCCAAAAACCAAAUCAUUUUAAAUUCAUGUUGAAAUGAUCAACAGAUGUUCUCCUACUUCUUUUUUUAUUAACGUGGAAUAUCAUGAGCAUAUAUAGAAAUGAAAGUGCAUCCCAUAGAUAUACCCUCUCUCCUGGUAUUCAUAUGGGGCAAAAACAAAUGUCCAAAUCCAUAUAAGAUGUAUGAAAUUUAAUUUCACAUAAUAAGUGAAUCGAACCUGAAGCGUUCUGGCAUACCAAAUCCUUCUCUUUAUCACUUGACCACAAAAUCCUGGACCUCCUAUUUAUAAUCUGUUAGUAACAUAUUACUUGUGCAAGCGAAAAAAGAAAACAACUUUUAACCAAAAAAAAAAAAAAUCUCAGUAAAACCUUCUUGAAAUAUGGCAAACUAAAGUUAAUUUUCCUUUUACCACCAGAUGCAGUAAUUAAACUACGGGUUUAAAACAUAAGUUGAUAAAAAAAAGUUGGUCUUCUAAUCUAUCUCAGUAUUAGUAAAGGUUGGUUCGGAUCAAUCAUGGGAUUAGGGUCCAUGUCCAAACCCAUCCUUGAAAAAACAAAAUCUGUAUCUAUAUACACUACAAGAAAACACAAGUUUUACGAGGGCAGUUUUCCUCGUGACUUCGUCGUAAAAG
rnacentral:lncRNA from 1 species